rnacentral:tRNA from 1 species
UGCAGCAGGGGGCGCAGCGGUUAGGGCGUCCGCCUCGCAGCCGGAAGAUCUCGGGUUCAAACCCCACGUCGUGCUGUAG